rnacentral:rRNA from 1 species
GUAGUUAGCCGGGGCUUCCUCCUUGGCUACCGUCAUUUGUUUCGUCACCAAGGACAGAGGUUUACAACCCGAAAGCCUUCUUCCCUCACGCGGCGUUGCUGGGUCAGGCUUGCGCCCAUUGCCCAAUAUUCCCCACUGCUGCCUCCCGUAGGAGUCUGGACCGUGUCUCAGUUCCAGUGUGGCCGAUCAGCCUCUCAGCUCGGCUACCCAUCGUCGACUUGGUGGGCCGUUACCCCGCCAACUAUCUAAUCGGACGCGAGCUCACCCCAAACCGGAUUGCUCCUUUUCCCUCAAGACCAUGUGAUCUCGUGGGCUUACGCGGUAUUAGCAGAUGUUUCCAUCUGUUAUCCCCCUGUCUGGGACAGAUUGCUCACGCGUUACUCACCCGUCCGCCGCUCGACUUGGCCGAAGCCUCAUCUCGCUCGACUUGCAUGUGUUAGGCACGCCGCCAGCGUUCGUCCUGAGCCAGGAUCAAACUCUGA